CUGACACAGGGAGGUAGUGACAAGAAAUAACAAUACAGGGCAAUUGUCUUGUAAUUGGAAUGAUGGUGACCUAAACCCUCACCAGAGUAACAAUUGGAGGGCAAGUCUGGUGCCAGCAGCCGCGGUAAUUCCAGCUCCAAUAGCGUAUAUUAAACUUGUUGCAGUUAAAAAGCUCGUAGUUGAAUUUUUGCGUGGUGUUAAUAUUGACUGAUGUCGAGAUUGCACUUCGCUUUUGGGAUUUAUCCCUUUUUACUUUGAGAAAAUUAGAGUGUUUCAAGCAGACUUUUGUCUUGAAUACUUCAGCAUGGAAUAAUAGAGUAGGACUUUGGUUCUAUUUUGUUGGUUUGUGAACCUUAGUAAUGGUUAAUA
rnacentral:rRNA from 1 species